UUAGCGGCGGACGGGUGAGUAACACGUGAGUAACCUGCCUUAGACAUUGGGAUAGCCUCGGGAAACCGGGAUUAAUACCAAAUAAAAUCAUAAUGACACAUGUCAUAACGAUCAAAACUCCGGUGGUCUAAGAUGGACUCGCGUCCCAUUAGCUAGUUGGUAAGGUAACGGCUUACCAAGGCAACGAUGCGUAGCCGACCUGAGAGGGUGAUCGGCCACACUGGAACUGAGACACGGUCCAG
rnacentral:rRNA from 1 species